UAAAUAUAUUUGUGCUUUGUCUUGAGCUCAUUUUGCCACACACACCACAUAUGAAUAAUGGCAGUCACUUAGUUUUUACAGUAGUUUUGAAUACAGCUCAUGCAGCAGAUGUGCCCACAGGGAAUAGUGACUGGCUCCUUUACAAGUUGCAAACAGAUGAAACAGCUCAGUUUUUCUUGAUGCAGCUGAAUUACUUGCUGUUUCAUUUCUCCUCAUUCAACUGAUGUCUCACUUUUCGUUUCCAGAUAAAAGCUGUUUUCGUCUCUUAAUGCCGAGACACUGAACUGAAGCGUAUGGAAAUUUUCUGUUUUGCAUCUUAUCACAUGACUCUGUAAAAGAAGAGGGUACGCGUAAUGUUUGAGGUAAACAGUCUGUAAACAGGGAGGAGCAGCUUGGUGUGAAACUGAAAGUGUUUCGGAUGAAAACAGAAUUGUAAUUGAAUGUUCACACUGGAAACUGUUACUGUCUUCCCUCUGUUGCCAAGUCCUUAUUCAUAGUGAGUGAAGCAAAUACAAAUAAAACUAAUUUCUCUGAGAUUCUCUGAGAUUCAGUUACAGUUCACACCACAGUUAUCUGUACAUGCAGUACUAUACUGUAAAUUUAGAUCUCUGCAUUUAGCAUCCGACUAGAAGAGUCACAGUUACUGCCUUUUUUUUUUUGUUACAAAUACCUGUACUAUUACUAACACAUUUACUGUUUUACUUUUAGCCUGUGGAUACAAAUGCAGAUGUCCUUAAUGUUCAAUGGUGCGCGUUCUUCUAAUGGCCGCAUUCCCACUGGAGGUUUUGAUCCACAGCAAUUUAAAAGGAGGACAGAGCAAAACGGACAUCGGAGCAGAGCGAAGAACUGACCUUGAUAAGGACACUAUGACAGCCAUAUAUAGUAAGUGAAGACUUUCUGUGUAUCUAAAAUUGCAUACAGCACAAGUAACUACUUUGCAACCAUUAAAAAAAUUGCACAAAUAGGUGAUGAUGCAUUGUAGUGGUUGGUCUCAGACAAAGAAGGUCAGAUUUAUGAAUUCUGGAGGGUAAGGAGAGAUGACCAAAAGGGGUGUUAGUAUUACUGUAAUGUGAACUGGAUAGACUUUCC